GCCGAUCAGUGUUUUUAGUUGCAUUUUGAAGGAGGUUUUAUGAGUUUUUUUUUUUACCUCAUCCAAAACACAAAAGAAAGCAAUUGAUUAUAUUAAAUAUGAAAUCCAAUCUUUUCUUCAUUUUUCUCAUUUUCGCCCAAACAAUAGAUGCAGUUUCAGAGGAUGGAGUGAAGGAUAAGAUGGUGGUGGCGAAGACGGUGCUGCAAGGGUCGGUGCCACCGAGCUGCGUGGGGCGGUGCGGCGGAUGCACGCCGUGCGAGAGGGUUGCUGAGGAAGCGGCGCCGGGGGAUUUCAUCUGGAAGUGCGUAUGCAAGAGGCUUAAUUUGAUUGAGAAGACCCCUUGGUUAUGCUUUCAUUGAUUUUGAUUCGUUUCUUGUAUCAAAAUUGAAUCUUGCUGUGCUUGAAAGAGGAAGCCUGGGAGAAAGUAGACAUCACUGAGGUCACCAUGCAAGAAUUUGAUUUUCUCUUGGGCGAAUAGCAUUACGAGAGAAAAAGAAAAACACGCCUCAAUAGAAUUAAGAUAAAGUGUUGGAUUUGUAUAUCAUUUGUGUUUGUUCAAAAAAUUUGUAUUAUUAUACGACAUCUUAUAGUGACAUAUUCAUUUAAUAUAAAUAGUGGAUUGUUUUAAAUUAUUGUAGAUUUGUAUAA